UACAGAGGUCUCAAGCGUUGCUCGGAUUCAUUGGGCGUAAAGGGUGCGUAGGUGGCGGGGUAAGUCAGGUGUGAAAUUUCGGAGCUUAACUCCGAAACUGCAUUUGAUACUGCCUUGCUUGAGGACUGGAGAGGAGACUGGAAUUCACGGUGUAGCAGUGAAAUGCGUAGAUAUCGUGAGGAAGACCAGUGGCGAAGGCGGGUCUCUGGACAGUUCCUGACACUGAGGCACGAAGGCCAGGGGAGCAAACGGG
rnacentral:rRNA from 1 species